rnacentral:rRNA from 1 species
GACGAACGCUCGUGGCGUGCUUAACACAUGCAAGUCGAACGGAAAGGCCCUGCUUUUGUGGGGUGCUCGAGUGGCGAACGGGUGAGUAACACGUGAGUAACCUGCCCUUGACUUUGGGAUAACUUCAGGAAACUGGGGCUAAUACCGGAUAGGAGCUCCUGCUGCAUGGUGGGGGUUGGAAAGUUUCGGCGGUUGGGGAUGGACUCGCGGCUUAUCAGCUUGUUGGUGGGGUAGUGGCUUACCAAGGCUUUGACGGGUAGCCGGCCUGAGAGGGUGACCGGCCACAUUGGGACUGAGAUACGGCCCAGACUCCUACGUGAGGCAGCAGUGGGGAAUAUUGCACAAUGGGCGGAAGCCUGAUGCAGCAACGCCGCGUGCGGGAUGACGGCCUUCGGGUUGUAAACCGCUUUCGCCUGUGACGAAGCGUGAGUGACGGUAAUGGGUAAAGAAGCACCGGCUAACUACGUGCCAGCAGCCGCGGUGAUACGUAGGGUGCGAGCGUUGUCCGGAUUUAUUGGGCGUAAAGGGCUCGUAGGUGGUUGAUCGCGUCGGAAGUGUAGUCUUGGGGCUUAACCCUGAGCGUGCUUUCGAUACGGGUUGACUUGAGGAGGGUAGGGGAGAAUGGAAUUCCUGGUGGAGCGGUGGAAUGCGCAGAUAUCAGGAGGAACACCAGUGGCGAAGGCGGUUCUCUGGGCCUUUCCUGACGCUGAGGAGCGAAAGCGUGGGGAGCGAACAGGCUUAGAUACCCUGGUAGUCCACGCUGUAAACGGUGGGUACUAGGUGUGGGGUCCAUUCCACGGGUUCCGUGCCGUAGCUAACGCUUUAAGUACCCCGCCUGGGGAGUACGGCCGCAAGGCUAAAACUCAAAGGAAUUGACGGGGCCCCGCACAAGCGGCGGAGCAUGCGGAUUAAUUCGAUGCAACGCGUAGAACCUUACCUGGGUUUGACAUGGAUCGGGAGUGCUCAGAGAUGGGUGUGCCUCUUUUGGGGUCGGUUCACAGGUGGUGCAUGGCUGUCGUCAGCUCGUGUCGUGAGAUGUUGGGUUAAGUCCCGCAACGAGCGCAACCCUUGUUCACUGUUGCCAGCACGUUAUGGUGGGGACUCAGUGGAGACCGCCGGGGUCAACUCGGAGGAAGGUGGGGAUGACGUCAAGUCAUCAUGCCCCUUAUGUCCAGGGCUUCACGCAUGCUACAAUGGCUGGCACAGAGAGUGGCGAGCCUGUGAGGGUGAGCGAAUCUCGGAAAGCCGGUCUCAGUUCGGAUUGGGGUCUGCAACUCGACCUCAUGAAGUCGGAGUCGCUAGUAAUCGCAGAUCAGCAACGCUGCGGUGAAUACGUUCCCGGG